rnacentral:sRNA from 1 species
UCGACACCUACCCGUAUUAAACUGGUGUU